GGGAAAGGCUGCAAGGAGACAUACACUGAGACACUAAGGGACAUUGGGAGACAUUAUGGCCAACACUGAGACACGAAGGGACAUUGGGAGACAUUAUGGCAGACACUGAGACACUAAGGGACAUUGGGAGACAUUAUGGCAGACACUAAGGGACACUGGGAAACAUUAUGGCAGACACUGAGACACUAAGGGACACUGGGAAACAUUAUGGCAGACACUGAGACACUAAGGGACAUUAGGAGACAUUAUGGCAGACACUGAGACACUAAGGGACACUGGGAGACAUGGGGCAUUGAGACACUGAUACAUAGGAACACUGAGACCUGGAGUAAUCGACACAUGGGGGCACUGAGUCAUGAGGGCACUGGGAGACAUGGGGGCACUGGGAGGAAUCCAUCUAUACAGCAGAAUCAAACUAAGUAGUUUUUGGUGAUUUUACAGCAUUUUCUCUUAUGUCACUCCUUGUGAUUUACAUCAUGUGAUGUCACCCAUACAUAUUUAAUUAUACAAAUUAGUAAGGCCGGUAUGUUU